rnacentral:rRNA from 1 species
GUGCCAGCCGCCGCGGUAAAACGUAGGAGCCAAGCGUUAUCCGAAUUCACUGGGCGUAAAGCGCGUGCAGGCGGCCUGAUAAGUUGGAUGUGAAAUCUCCUGGCUCAACUGGGAGAGGCCGUUCAAGACUGUCGGGCUCGAGGGCGACAGAGGGAGGUGGAAUUCCGGGUGUAGUGGUGAAAUGCGUAGAUAUCCGGAGGAACACCAGAGGCGAAGGCGACCUCCUGGGUCGUACCUGACGCUGAGAUGCGAAAGCUAGGGGAGCAAACGGGAUUAGAAACCCCUGUAGUCC